rnacentral:rRNA from 1 species
UGUGAUUCGUCACACUAUCAUUAACUGAAUCCAUAGGUUAAUGAGGCGAACCGGGGGAACUGAAACAUCUAAGUACCCCGAGGAAAAGAAAUCAACCGAGAUUCCCCCAGUAGCGGCGAGCGAACGGGGAGGAGCCCAGAGCCUGAAUCAGCAUGUGUGUUAGUGGAAGCGUCUGGAAAGGCGCGCGAUACAGGGUGACAGCCCCGUACACAAAAGCGCAUGUGCUGUGAGCUCGAUGAGUAGGGCGGGACACGUGGUAUCCUGUCUGAAUAUGGGGGGACCAUCCUCCAAGGCUAAAUACUCCUGACUGACCGAUAGUGAACCAGUACCGUGAGGGAAAGGCGAAAAGAACCCCGGCGAGGGGAGUGAAAAAGAACCUGAAACCGUGUACGUACAAGCAGUGGGAGCCCCACCACCAAAGCAUUUGCUGUACCGCGUUGACGGAGCGAAGCGACGUCAAACCGAUAAAACAGCAGUGUAAAGUGAGCCGCAGGGCGCUUUGCGCGACAGCGCAAAGGCAGGCGGUUUCGCGUAGCGAAAGCGAAUGCUUUGGGGUGG